UCGGCUUGGGUAUGACGCUAAAAGCUUGGCAUACCUGUAUUUGGGGAGUUUAUUUGAUAGGAAAAGAGUUGAAAAACUACAAAUCUCAGAUUUCCCACUUCCGGAUUGGAUUUUUUCUCAGGUUUUUGCCUGCCAUAUGAGUUCUGUUAUACUCACAGACAUCGUUCAAACAGUUCUAGAAACUUCAGAGUGUUUUCUAUCCAAAUCUAUAUGCAUAUUCUAGCUUUUAUGGCUGAGUAGCAGGCAGUUUAAUUUGGGCACGCUUUUCAUCCAAAAUUCCCAAUGCUGCCCCCUACCCUAGAGAAGUUAACACAGGUGGACUCUAAUGAAGUUGUAGAAACAUCUCAAGGAUGAUCAAUGGCAACAGGAUGCACCUGAGCUCAAUUUUGAGUCUCAUAGCAAAGGGUCCAAAUACUUAUGUAAAUAAGGUAUCUGUUUUUAUUUUUAAUACAUUUUCAAAAAAGUCUAAAAACCUGUUUUCUGCUUUGUCAUUAUAGGGUAUUGUGUGUAGAUUUAUAAAAGGGAAAACAAGUAUUUAAUCCAUUUUAGAAUACGUCUGUAACGUAACUUGGAAAAAUCUAAGUGGUCUGAAUACUUUCCGAAUGCACUGUACUUCUAAACACCAGACACACCAGAGACACCGUAACAAGGUAUUUGACAAUGUCACAAGUUCAUAACAAUAUCACAAGUUGAUAAUAUUAAUACUGUGUUUAGAGGGUUGCUAUAGCUAUCCUCGUCAAAGGACUCUUUAUGUCCGAGGAGACUCUGUGAGCUGCGAUGUUCACCAGAACCAGCAAUAGCUGCUCUAAUCUAUUGGCAUUGGUCCAGAAGAAGUGUCUUAAGGGUCUUCACACAUCUGCUUCCUCUCUCCCUGUGCCCUCUCUCGCGCCACCUUAAUGCCCUCCUGUUCCCAGCACUAUUUAUAUACCCUUUUUUAUCGACAGGAUGACAGCACUCUUCACUGCUGAAGCUUUCCUGGCUGCCCCUUUGACCUGAACCAGCCAGGGAAAGAAUGCCAACCGUGAUGCACUGUUCUGUGGGUGUUAGUCUGCUGUCAAUCACACAGGGUUUUUGCUGUUAGAAAACGUUGAUAUGAAUAGUCCUUGGGUAAGGUUUCCAUUAUGAACAGUCCUGGGGUAAGGUUUCCAUUAUGAAUAGUCCUGGGGUAAGGUUUCCAUUAUGAAUAGUCCUGGGGUAAGGUUUCCAUUAUGAAUAGUCCUGGGGUAAGGUUUCCAUUAUGAAUAGUCCUGGGGUAAGGUUUCCAUUAUGAAUAGUCCUGGGGUAAGGUUUCCAUUAUGAAUAGUCCUGGGGUAAGGUUUCCAUUAUGAAUAGUCCUGGGGUAAGGUUUCCAUUAUGAAUAGUCCUGGGGUAAGGUUUCCAUUAUGAAUAGUCCUGGGGUAAGGUUUCCAUUAUGAAUAGUCCUGGGGUAAGGUUUCCAUUAUGAAUAGUCCUGGGGUAAGGUUUCCAUUAUGAAUAGUCCUGGGGUAAGGUUUCCAUUAUGAAUAGUCAUGGGGUAAGGUUUCCAUUAUGAAUAGUCCUUGGGUAAGGUUUCCAUUAUGAAUAGUCCUUGG